rnacentral:rRNA from 1 species
UACGAAGGGGGCGAGCGUUGUUCGGAUUUACUGGGCGUAAAGGGCGCGCAGGCGGUCCUGUUUGUCGAGUGUGAAAGCCCCGGGCUCAACCUGGGAACUGCGCUCGAAACGGCGGGACUAGAGUUCGGGAGAGGAGAGUGGAAUUCCCAGUGUAGAGGUGAAAUUCGUAGAUAUUGGGAAGAACACCGGUGGCGAAGGCGGCUCUCUGGACCGAUACGUGACGCUGGACGGCG